ACGCUCGACACCUACUGGAGGCAGCAGUCGGGAAUAUUGCGCAAUGGAGGAAACUCUGACGCAGUGACGCCGCGUAUAGGAAGAAGGUUUUCGGAUUGUAAACUAUUGUCGUUAGGGAAGAAAAAAGACAGUACCUAAGGAGGAAGCUCCGGCUAACUACGUGCCAGUAGCCGCGGUAAUCUGAGCGGGCUGGCAAGGC
rnacentral:rRNA from 1 species